UCUCCUGUGGUCUAGUGGUUAGGAUUCCUAGCUUUCACCCAGGCUGCCCGGGUUCGAUUCCUGGCAUGGGAA
rnacentral:tRNA from 1 species